UACGAAGGGUGCAAGCGUUACUCGGAAUUACUGGGCGUAAAGCGUGCGUAGGUGGUGAGUUAAGUCUGUCGUGAAAGCCCCGGGCUCAACCUGGGAAUGGCGAUGGAUACUGGCUCGCUAGAGUGCGGUAGAGGAGAGUGGAAUUCCCGGUGUAGCAGUGAAAUGCGUAGAGAUCGGGAGGAACAUCAGUUGCGAAGGCGGCUCUCUGGACCAGCACUGACACUGAGGCACGAAAGCGUGGGGAGCAAACAGG
rnacentral:rRNA from 3 species